ACGGCCACACUACAUUGAAAUCCCGGUUUCUGUACGAUCACCGAAGUUAAGCAACAUCGAGCUUGGCCAGUACCUAGAUGGGUGACCCCGUGUGCAUACCAGGUGCUGUAAG